rnacentral:rRNA from 1 species
GCGCAGCAGUCGAGAAUCUUCGGCAAUGGGGGAAACCCUGACCGAGCGACGCCGCGUGUGGGAUGAAGGCCCUUGGGUUGUAAACCACUGUCAGAGGGGAUGAAAUGCCGGAAAGUUAUCUCUCCGGUUUGACAUAGCCUCAGAGGAAGCACGGGCUAAGUUCGUGCCAGCAGCCGCGGUAAGACGAACUGUGCAAACGUUAUUCGGAAUCACUGGGCUUGAAGAGUGCGUAGGCGGUUUCGUAAGUAGGGUGUGAAAGCCCCCGGCUCAACCGGGGAAUUGCGUCCUAAACUGCGAGGCUGGAGUGAGGUAGGGGUGUGUGGAACUUCCAGUGGAGCGGUGAAAUGUGUUGAUAUUGGAAGGAACGCCGGUGGCGAAAGCGACACACUGGACCUUGUCUGACGCUGAGGCACGAAAGCCAGGGGAGCAAACGGGAUUAGAUACCCGCGUAGU